rfam:Felis catus isolate Cinnamon breed Abyssinian chromosome B2, whole genome shotgun sequence.
GCCUGGGUGGCUCAGUCGGUUGAGUGUCUGACUUCAGCUCAGGUCACGGUCUCAUGGUUUGUGGGUUCGAGCCCCAGGUCGGGUU